CGUCGAUAUAUCUGAGCCACAGGGACAGAUAAUUAAAACAAUACUGUGAAGUGGCGUAACCUGUUAUAGGAAAAGUCGGGUGAGGUGUACCGAAACCAACGUAUGCGGUAGGCCUGUAAAUAAAGCAAGAAGGAAGGAGUACAAUGCCGUUGAAUAUUUAUUUAGACAAAUUAGAUAAUACAAGGAGAAAACAUUAAGAUGACAUUUUUACAAAAGCCUUCCGCAUUUCCUGUACCGGUUGAGGUGUGUAUACUGAAAAAGCGGACGACUACCAUCGACCCAAUGAUUUGAUAACAUGGACUGGUUGGUCCUGACUGGAUGCAGCAAAAGCAGCCCCUAUCUUGAAAGAGUGACCUGAAUAUUUACUAGGAUUCAAC